GACGAACGCUGGCGGCGUGCUUAACACAUGCAAGUCGAACGGAAAGGCCCUGCUUUUGUGGGGUGCUCGAGUGGCGAACGGGUGAGUAACACGUGAGUAACCUGCCCUUGACUUUGGGAUAACUUCAGGAAACUGGGGCUAAUACCGGAUAGGAGCUCCUGCUGCAUGGUGGGGGUUGGAAAGUUUCGGCGGUUGGGGAUGGACUCGCGGCUUAUCAGCUUGUUGGUGGGGUAGUGGCUUACCAAGGCUUUGACGGGUAGCCGGCCUGAGAGGGUGACCGGCCACAUUGGGACUGAGAUACGGCGCAGACUCCUACGGGAGGCAGCAGUGGGGAAUAUUGCACAAUGGGCGGACGCCAGAUGCAGCAACGCCGCGUGCGGGAUGACGGCCUUCGGGUUGUAAACCGCUUUCGCCUGUGACGAAGCGUGAGUGACGGUAAUGGGUAAAGAAGCACCGGCUAACUACGUG
rnacentral:rRNA from 1 species